rnacentral:rRNA from 1 species
AUAAUGGGUCAGCGACUUAUAUUCUGUAGCAAGGUUAACCGAAUAGGGGAGCCGAAGGGAAACCGAGUCUUAACUGGGCGUUAAGUUGCAGGGUAUAGACCCGAAACCCGGUGAUCUAGCCAUGGGCAGGUUGAAGGUUGGGUAACACUAACUGGAGGACCGAACCGACUAAUGUUGAAAAAUUAGCGGAUGACUUGUGGCUGGGGGUGAAAGGCCAAUCAAACCGGGAGAUAGCUGGUUCUCCCCGAAAGCUAUUUAGGUAGCGCCUCGUGAAUUCAUCUCCGGGGGUAGAGCACUGUUUCGGCAAGGGGGUCAUCCCGACUUACCAACCCGAUGCAAACUGCGAAUACCGGAGAAUGUUAUCACGGGAGACACACGGCGGGUGCUAACGUCCGUCGUGAAGAGGGAAACAACCCAGACCGCCAGCUAAGGUCCCAAAGUCAUGGUUAAGU